GACGAACGCUGGCGGCGUGCCUAAUACAUGCAAGUUGAGCGCUGAAGGUUGGUACUUGUACCAACUGGAUGAGCAGCGAACGGGUGAGUAACGCGUGGGGAAUCUGCCUUUGAGCGGGGGACAACAUUUGGAAACGAAUGCUAAUACCGCAUAAAAACUUGAAACACAAGGUUUAAGUGUGAAAGAUGCAAUUGCAUCACUCAAAGAUGAUCCCGCGUUGUAUUAGCUAGUUGGUGAGGUAAAGGGUCACCAAGGCGAUGAUACGUAGCGGACCUGAGAGGGCGGUCGGCCACAUUGGGACGGUGACCCGGCCCAAACUGCCUCGGGUGGCAGCAGGAGUGAUUCGUCGGCCAGGGGCGGAAGUCUGACCGAGCAACGCCGCGGGAGGGAAGAGGGUUGUCGGAUCGUAAAACUCUGUUGGUAGGGAAGAACGUUGGUGAGAGUGGAAAGCUCAGCAAGUGACGGUAACUACUCAGAAAGCGACGGCUAACUACGUG
rnacentral:rRNA from 1 species